CACCUACAGCCCCUCGAGCGCUCUGUGCGCUGACAGUAACAUAAACAACAUUGACAAAACGAGACAAUGCAUUUUAUUAAGGCAGCACCUGCACAAGACACAGCACUGUGUGCUGAUGUUCAAGGACUUUCUCUUAUGAGACUACUGUGGAACUUCAUCAGACAUGACAGCUGGAGGGCAUGUUGGGAUUGAGCAGAGCCUCCUGUAGCGUGGAGAUGAUGGUGAGAGGUCGAGGAGGAAGAAGAAGUAGAAGAGGGGGGGCUGCAUAGGCAGCCCGGGUGCCGUGUGGAGGACUUGGAAGGUGGGGGUUUAAACCCGCACUCUAUGCAAAGAGGAGGCCAUGUGCAGAGUAGAUGAGGGGAAGGCCCUAAAGUUAAUAGGUUAAUGAGUGUGCCGUGCAUGGAGAAGAAUGAGGCAGUGCGUCUGGCGGGCCUGUGAUAAAGAAAAGCUCUUCUCUGGUUUGGGAAUUUAAGCGAGAGUCUCACAGUGUGUUCCAAAUAGGCCUCCAAUCACUGUUCCCUGUACAGGAACAUCAGGAGCACUGUAUACAGUAGUUAUUGUGUUCCAGGAGAGAGUGGCUGCAUUCAAGUUGCAUAUUAUACACUAAUACUCUAAGAUACUGUAUAUAUUAUAAUCUUAACAGAGAGGAGUUGGCAGGUUAGUGAAUAAACUAACUUUUUAUGCACUAAUUUAUGAUACA
rnacentral:lncRNA from 1 species